rfam:Sphaerobolus stellatus SS14 unplaced genomic scaffold SPHSTscaffold_19, whole genome shotgun sequence.
GCCUUGCUAGCUCAAUCGGUAGAGCGUGAGACUCUUAUAGGUCUUCCUUAGUGGUAUCUCAAGGUUGCGGGUUCGACCCCCGCGUGGGGCU